GGGUCCAUAGCUCAGUCGGUAGAGCAGCGGCCUUUUAAGCCGUUGGUCGCGCGUUCAAGUCGCGCUGGACCCACCA
rnacentral:tRNA from 1 species